rnacentral:lncRNA from 10 species
UCUGUCUCAAGAAAAAAAAUUUUUUUUUUUUAUUCUUUUUUAGCAGAGCCUUGCUCUGUCACCCAGGCUGGAGUGUAGCGGCGUGAUCUCGGCUCACUGCAACCUCCACCUCCAGGGUUCAAGCAAUUCUCCUGCUUCAGCCCCUCAAGUAGCUGGUAUUACAGGUGCCCACCACCACACCCAGCUAAUUUUUUUGUAUUUUCAGUAGAGACGGGGUUUCACCAUGUUAGCCAGGCUGGUUUUGAACUCCUGACCUCAAGUGAUCUGCCUGCCUUGGCCUCCCAAAGCUCUAGGAUUACAGAUGUGAGCCAUGGCACCUGGCCUAAAUUUUUUUUAAGGUUCAAGGAUUCUAAAAAAACUCAAAACAAGAUUUAGUUGACAGUGGUCCCAAGCUAAUAGUGUUCCAGGUCAACAGGAACCGUGUGAAGGAAUCCACCAUAACAACAGCCUUCAAAUGACAAAACACACAAGGAAGCAAAACCAUGAAUGUGUACCAGCAGAAACGAGAACAGAAUCAGACUCAUAAAGCCUCUGAAUAUUGGGCUUAUCAGAGUCAGAAUAUAAAAUAUGUGUAAGAUAGAAUGAAUAUUGAGCAGGAUGCUUUAAAAGUGACCAAGCAGAUUUGAAAAACAUUAAAAAUGUUGGCCUUCUCGUCCCAGUUCUUCCCAAAGUUGAGAAAAGCUGGGUUGAGAGGAUGAAAAGAAAAAAAAAGAAAAAUUUAGUGGAGUUUAACAGCAGUAAAGAAGUAUCCAUAUGCAGCAGAGAGAAGCAAAGAGGAAAGAAAUAGGAAAGGAAAGUAAAAGAGUAACAUUUGUACAAUCGUAUUGCCAAUAGGAAAGAAAAGAGAAAAUAGGUCAGAGGCUAACUCUAAAUAAUUGUUUUUUUUUUUUCAUUUUUUUAAUUGAGACAGAGCCUCGCUCUGUUGCCCAGGCUGGAGUGCAGUGGCAUGAUCUCAGCUCACUGCAACCUCCGCCUCCCAGGUUCAAGCGAUCCUCUUGCCUCAGCACCCCCUAGUAGCUGGGAUUACAGGCACGUGCCAACAUGCCUCGCUCAUUUUUUUUUUUUUUUC